AAUAUAAAUUAAUAUGUGACCUUUGAUAUUUCUGCAUGGGAUGGUUAUGACAUAAUUGAAUAAUAUACGACUUGAAUUCACAGAUUUGAUUAGUAUCUACGUAGGUGACACGACACAGACUUUGCCGUCAAUCAUACGGCAGAAGUUUAUCUAAUUCAUGAAUACAAACAUAUUCAUUUCCUCCAAAAACAAUUAUUACCCUUUAGUAUAUAGUGAUGCAUUUCAGCAUCUAAACCAUGUUCAUUAAUAGCCAACGCAACCUUUUGUUAAAAGCGAAUGCGACUUAUAUUAAUUAGUGAAUAGCUAGAAAGUCUACUUAUUUGAUUGAAUCCUACUAUAUAAAAGGAGCUAUUUUAAAGACUUCUAAAGUGUGCCACAUAUGCAAAAAAUUCCUGGCCAAUCAAUCUAACAGCUCAUCUCAAACUGGGCUGAUAUCCAUGUCAAUUACGAAGCCCAAACAAUUUAUUUAAAUCCCAGUCAAUACUGAAGUCAGCCCAAUAUCCAUUUACGGUAUAUGAUACCAAGAAACUAAGAAGCUCAUUCUAUUUUAUGAAAUUACAUGCUUUUGUUUAGUCUUUCGCCACAGUGACCGGAGGCGUGUUGAAUCACAAAGCUUCUCACGCAUCCCAUUAUUAUACUAUUUCAAUUGAGGUUCUUAGUGUUGUUCUAACUUAUAUUUAAAAAUAAAUUUUAUUAAAUGUUAUAGAUUUUACUAUUAUCUUAAUAAAAUUUAAUAUAGAUUUGAUAUAUAUUAUAUCAAAUUAUAUAAAACUAAUAAAAAUGAUAUAAAAUUGUAUAAUUAUCAAACAUUUGGCCUAAACAAUAUUUUUAAAAUUUUGUAGAUAUAUAAGAAACUAAAUAUCAUACGAUUAGAUAUUAGAUGUUUAAGAAUUGCAUAUUUUUAAAAGCUUUAGUAAUACAAAUUGUAUAAUUAUAUAAAAAUAAUAAUAUUACUAAAUCUGGAAUGGUAUAUAUGAAUAUAUAUUUAUUUUAUAGAUGAUGCAUAAGAUAUUACCAACAUUAAAUAAAAUUAUCCGUCUCAUGUUUAUUUUUUUAAUUGUAGAGAUGACAUGUAGCAAAAUGCCCAAAAUGACCCUAAUAACCUAGAUAUAUAGAAAAUAUAAAAAAUUUGAAAUAUAAUACAAUAAUUAUUUGUAGAUAACUGGUACGUUUAACUUUGUGGGACAAGGAGACGUCUAAUUUCAGGGAGUAAAAUCGCAUAUCUACCAGAAAAAACUAAAUCGUAAUCAUCACAAGUAUCAUUCUACGGUUACAUGAAGGGAAACUAUCACUCACAACCACACCUGGAUCGCGCUUCUACUUUGACAACAAUAUUGAUAUCAUACAACGCUUCCAAAAGAGGAAUAAAUGUCUAUCCUAAGCCUCAUAGCAAACGACACCAGUCAACUUUUUUAAAAUUUACGUUACAGCUUUCUACGUCAAUUAAAUAGGCACACUCAAAUACUAUUUUCUCUUACGAAUAUUAAAUUCAUCAACAUAAUUUAUUAUUCAAACUUACUUUAGUUUAUAAAAAAAAGUGAUCACCGCUUC